rnacentral:rRNA from 1 species
UACGUAGGGGGCAAGCGUUGUCCGGAAUUAUUGGGCGUAAAGCGUCCGUAGGUGGCUUUACAAGUCAGCUGUUAAAGCGUGGAGCUUAACUCCAUAAAGGCAGUUGAAACUGUGAGGCUAGAGUGCGGUAGGGGUAAGGGGAAUUCCCAGUGUAGCGGUGAAAUGCGUAGAUAUUGGGAAGAACACCGGUGGCGAAAGCGCCUUGCUGGACCUGCACUGACACUGAGGGACGAAAGCUAGGGGAGCGAAAGGG